GAUGAACGCUGGCGGCGUGCCUAAUACAUGCAAGUCGAGCGAACAGACGAGGAGCUUGCUCCUCUGACGUUAGCGGCGGACGGGUGAGUAACACGUGGAUAACCUACCUAUAAGACUGGGAUAACUUCGGGAAACCGGAGCUAAUACCGGAUAAUAUAUUGAACCGCAUGGUUCAAUAGUGAAAGACGGAUUUGCUGUCACUUAUAGAUGGAUCCGCGCCGCAUUAGCUAGUUGGUAAGGUAACGGCUUACCAAGGCAACGAUGCGUAGCGGACCUGAGAGGAGGAUCAGCCACACUGGAACUGAGACACGGUCCAGACUCCUACGGGAGGCAGCAGUGGGGAAUAUUGGACAAUGGGCGAAAGCCUGAUCCAGCCAUGCCGCGUGUGUGAAGAAGGUCUUCGGAUUGUAAAGCACUUUAAGUUGGGAGGAAGGGCAGUAAGUUAAUACCUUGCUGUUUUGACGUUACCAACAGAAUAAGCACCGGCUAACUUCGUG
rnacentral:rRNA from 1 species